rnacentral:rRNA from 1 species
AUGAACGCUGGCGGCGUGCCUAAUACCUGCAAGUCGAGCGAACAGAUGAGGAGCUUGCUCCUCUGACGUUAGCGGCGGACGGGGGAGUAACACGUGGAUAACCUACCUAUAAGACUGGGAUAACUUCGGGAAACCGGAGCUAAUACCGGAUAAUAUAUUGAACCGCAUGGUUCAAUAGUGAAAGACGGUUUUGCUGUCACUUAUAGAUGGAUCCGCGCCGCAUUAGCUAGUUGGUAAGGUAACGGCUUACCAAGGCAACGAUGCGUAGCCGACCUGAGAGGGUGAUCGGCCACACUGGAACUGAGACACGGUCCAGACUCCUACGGGAGGCAGCAGUAGGGAAUCUUCCGCAAUGGGCGAAAGCCUGACGGAGCAACGCCGCGUGAGUGAUGAAGGUCUUCGGAUCGUAAAACUCUGUUAUUAGGGAAGAACAAAUGUGUAAGUAACUAUGCACGUCUUGACGGUACCUAAUCAGAAAGCCACGGCUAACUACGUG